CUCCACUGAAGGAGAGAGCUAUGCUGAGAGAUACCAGGUCUUCCACACCUUCAUUGUGUCCUUUAACGAGCAGCGGCGGCCUGUAAUGCCAUUACUAACAGCGAUGAAGAGGACUCCUCAUCUUAGUGCAGAGCAGAAAGCUCUUAGACGAGCCUGGGAUGCUCUUGCUAAGAAGCUACGUGAGUAUAAAACAGAGCUGGACCUGAGCCUUCCAUCCCCACUGGAUACUGUAGGCCGCUGGUUAUUGCGUAUUGAAGAGGUUUUAUUUGCUGAAGAGGGCGAGCCAAUAGAUCACGCCCGAGCCGCAGAGGAGGCUCGGGAGAAACUUGAGCUACUAAAGGUGUGUUUGGAGGAGAUGCCACAUCAUAUCAAGAGGUUUAAUAUGUUUCAAAACACAAAUGAGUUUGGAGAGGCUCUGGUGCCAGCAGACAAGAUGGAAGAGAUGAAGAGAAGGU
rnacentral:lncRNA from 1 species